UGGGGAAUAUUGGGCAAUGGGCGAAAGCCUGACCCAGCGACGCCGCGUGAGGGAAGAAGGUCUUCGGAUUGUAAACCUCUGUUGACAGGGACGAAGGAAGUGACGGUACCUGUUGAGGAAGCCACGGCUAACUACGUGCCAGCAGCCGCGGUAAUACGUAGGUGGCAAGCGUUAUCCGGAAUUACUGGGUGUAAAGGGUGAGUAGGCGGGGAAGCAAGUCAGAUGUGAAAUGCAAAGGCUUAACCUUUGAAUUGCAUUUGAAACUGUUUCUCUUGAGGGUCGGAGAGGUAAUCGGAAUUCCUAGUGUAGCGGUGAAAUGCGUAGAUAUUAGGAGGAACACCAGUGGCGAAGGCGGAUUACUGGACGACUACUGACGCUGAAUCACGAAAGCGUGGGGAGCAAACAGG
rnacentral:rRNA from 1 species